rnacentral:lncRNA from 1 species
CUUGAAUCAGAGCAGAGCUGAAGACAUCACACUUACAGAGGAUUACGAAAGCAACAUACCUCUCUGUGUCAGAAACUUUGAGGAAGAAGCAGAUGCACUGAGAAGACAAAGCUUCUUUGAGGGCAGCUUCCUGACGAGCAGCAACAGUCUGGUGACUGAUCACAACUCAGCCAGUGCCAGUGGAGACAAGUCUGUGCUGCAUGAAGAUGUGUUCUGCUUCCAGCAUGACCGUUUUGGAGAUGAGGAGGAUGCUGCAGAUAUGAUUGAAAUCCUGUUGAGGGAUGAGCAAAAUGGCCUAGAUAGAGAUAUUCUGGAUAUAGAGGAAGCACGUCCUUUGUCACCAGAUCUGCCAGAGAACAGCACAACCAGUGAGUUUGCAGAGUCUGCUCCAUCUCACACAAACCCUCUGUUCCUGUGUUAAUGCCUAAGGUCACACACAUUCAGCUUUGUGCAGUAUCCUGUGGCUUUUUCCUUUCUUCAUUUAUUUUGCCUUUCUUUUUUUUUUUUUCUAAACUGCUUCAUCCACCUACUUUAGGGUAAUUUCAUUUGAUUUAGGGAUUCCAAAUUUGUAACCUGA